GCAGAAGUCUGGGCAGCUGCGGGAGGAGAGGUUUGGGAGGCGCGGGAGAUGUCCACCCUGGGCUGGUGGCGCCGCCGGGCGCCGGGCGCCAUGAGGGUGCGCUAGGCGGCUGUUCGUGCCCGAGGCUGCGCAGCACUGAGGUGAGCUUUGCCUUCUUGAUCUUCCGUCCUUCUUGGAGACGACUGGCGAGAGGAAGAGGGACUAGGUCCAAACGCUAGGUGGCUGGGUCCAGAUACCUGUGUUUUGACUCUGUUCCUGUGGAUAGCUGCUUGGUCUGAAGUUCCAGAAAGGAUCCUGUUCCCAGACAGGUCCCUGAGUACUGACGGUCACAGGCUGCCGCGUCUUUCCUGUUGACUCAUGUUUGGUUCCUCCAGUGAAAAUUUUACUUAGAGAAAUGCUGCCUCCAAAGCACUUGUCUGCCACCAAACCUAAGAAGUCCUGGGCCCCAAAUCUGUAUGAGCUAGACAGUGACUUGACUAAGGAGCCGGAUGUCAUCAUAGGAGAAGGUCCAACUGACUCUGAGUUUUUUCAUCAGAGGUUUCGGAACCUAAUCUAUGUGGAAUUUGUUGGGCCUCGGAAGACCCUGAUCAAACUCCGAAACCUCUGCCUCGAUUGGUUGCAGCCGGAGACCCGCACCAAGGAGGAGAUCAUCGAGCUCUUGGUCCUUGAGCAGUACCUGACCAUCAUCCCUGAAAAGCUCAAGCCUUGGGUGCGAGCAAAAAAGCCGGAGAACUGUGAGAAGCUCGUCACUCUGCUGGAGAAUUACAAGGAGAUGUACCAACCAGAAGACGACAACAACAGUGACGUGACCAGCGACGACGACAUGACCCGGAACAGAAGAGAGUCCUCACCACCUCACUCAGUCCAUUCUUUCAGUGGUGACCGGGACUGGGACCGGAGGGGCAGAAGCAGAGACAUGGAGCCACGAGACCGCUGGUCCCACACCAGGAACCCAAGAAGCAGGAUGCCUCCGCGGGAUCUUUCCCUUCCUGUGGUGGCGAAAACAAGCUUUGAAAUGGACAGAGAGGACGACAGGGACUCCAGGGCUUAUGAGUCCCGAUCUCAGGAUGCUGAAUCAUACCAAAAUGUGGUGGACCUCGCUGAGGACAGGAAACCUCACAACACAAUCCAGGACAACAUGGAAAACUACAGGAAGCUGCUCUCCCUCGGUUUCCUUGCUCAGGACUCUGUCCCUGCAGAAAAGAGGAACACAGAGAUGUUAGACAAUCUGCCAUCUGCUGGGUCCCAGGUGGGACCCUGAGGCUUAACCUACCCAAACUCACAAAGAACCAGAGCCAGGACUCUGAUUCCUGAGGCUGAGUUCCCGGACUUCAAACACUUAGGAACAUUUCUGGUGUUUGAGGAGUUGGUGACCUUCGAGGAUGUGCUUGUGGACUUCAGCCCAGAGGAACUUAGUUCCCUUAGUGCUGCUCAGAGAAACCUCUACAGGGAGGUGAUGCUGGAGAAUUACCGGAACCUGGUCUCCCUGGGGCACCAGUUCUCUAAACCUGACAUUAUCUCACGCCUGGAAGAGGAGGAAUCAUAUGCAAUGGAGACAGACAGCAGACAUACAGUGAUUUGUCAAGGAGAGUCUCAUGAUGAUCCAUUGGAACCACACCAGGGCAACCAAGAGAAACUUUUGACUCCUAUAACAAUGAAUGACCCCAAGACCCUCACUCCGGAAAGAAGCUAUGGCAGUGAUGAAUUUGAGAGAAGCUCUAAUCUUAGUAAACAAUCAAAGGAUCCUCUAGGAAAGGAUCCCCAGGAAGGCACUGCUCCUGGAAUAUGUACGAGUCCCCAGUCAGCAUCCCAAGAGAACAAACACAACAGAUGUGAAUUUUGCAAACGAACCUUUAGUACGCAAGUAGCCCUUAGGAGACACGAACGGAUCCAUACUGGGAAGAAACCCUAUGAAUGUAAACAGUGUGCUGAAGCCUUCUAUCUCAUGCCACACCUCAACAGACAUCAGAAGACCCAUUCUGGUAGGAAGACUUCUGGCUGCAAUGAAGGUAGAAAGCCUUCCGUCCAGUGUGCGAAUCUCUGUGAACGUGUAAGAAUUCACAGUCAGGAGGACUACUUUGAAUGUUUUCAGUGCGGCAAAGCUUUUCUCCAGAAUGUGCAUCUUCUUCAACAUCUCAAAGCCCAUGAGGCAGCAAGAGUCCUUCCUCCUGGGUUGUCCCACAGCAAGACAUACUUAAUUCGUUAUCAGCGGAAACAUGACUACGUUGGAGAGAGAGCCUGCCAGUGUUGUGACUGUGGCAGAGUCUUCAGUCGGAAUUCAUAUCUCAUUCAGCAUUAUAGAACUCACACUCAAGAGAGGCCUUACCAGUGUCAGCUAUGUGGGAAAUGUUUCGGCCGACCCUCAUACCUCACUCAACAUUAUCAACUCCAUUCUCAAGAGAAAACUGUUGAGUGCGAUCACUGUUGAGAAACCUUUAGUCACAGCACACACUUUUCUCAACAUUAUUGGCUUCCUCCUAGAGUGUUGUGAGUGUGAGAAGGCCUUUCACUAGCCCCACCUUGUUAACAACUUGAACAUUCAUCAAAGUGUGGUAAAAAAAAAAAAAAA